AAAGCACUUCCCAACAUUGUUUACUGUAAUAGAGCCAACUUUACUGGGACGACGUCUCGUCGCCUGCUGGCGCUGUUUGGAGCUUUCUUUAAGUGGAGAAGUUCACCUGAUCGAGGUCGAUUACCCUAAAUUUGAAUGGAUUGAAUUCACAGUGAUUCAAGAGGAUUUGGCAUUUAUUUGCAUUGAUUCAAAAGCAACAUUAUGUGACUUACCAUCUUUUUCGCGGUUUCUGGAUCUCUGCUUGUAUCGCUCUCGGUCUGCUUCAAUGGAUGACAACUCGAGGUGCUGGCUACUUAGGAUCUCGAAUAACUUGAGCGCCUCUUCAAAACAGAAUUCUCGCUUAAAGCCAAGAACAAGCCACCUAUAUAAAACAACAACAGCCAAGUAGGACUAAAAAAGAACUGGUCAUUCUAAAACACAGCAUUGAAUCCCUACAAAGGAAACCGAACUGUAACCUGUAAUAUACAAUGUCAAGAAGAUCUCCCAGGAUCUCUAGAUCUCCCAUGUCAUUUGAUGUCCCUUACCUAUGUGCAAAGAGUAGAUCUUCCAUGCCGUUAAGGUACCUUACCUGUGUUACAAAGAGAAUAUCUCCCAUGUCAUUCGAGAUCCUUGCCUAUGUACAAGAGUAGAUCUUCCAUUCCAUUACAACCAAAUUCGUUGUUGCGCGACCUCGGCGAAUCCAAAAUCCAUGUCUCGUUUGGAAAUAGCGCGUAAUCAGACACAAGCUUUGGGGGCGGUUUGUCUGGUUUGGAUUGUUUGGUUUGAUUGAGUACGCGCUAUUCCCAAACGAAGAAAGGAAUUUUGGAUUCUGGCAGGUCGCGCAACAACGAAUUUGGCUAUAAGGUAACUUACCUAUGUGCAAAGAAUAUAUCUUCCAUGUCACUAAAGGUACCUUACCUAUGUACAAAGAGUAGAUCUUCCAUGCCAUCAAGGUACCUUACCUGAGUACAAAAAGAAUAUCUUCCAUUCAUUCGAGAAACUGUACCUUACCUAUGUACAAAGAGUAGAUCUUCCAUGCCAUCAAGGUACCUUACCUGAGUACAAAAAGAAUAUAUUCCAUUCAUUCGAGAAACUGUACCUUACCUAUGUGCAAAGAGAAGAUCUCCCAUGUCAUUCAAAGAACUUUACCUGUGUACAAGAAUAUAUCUUCCAUGCCAUUAAGGUACCUUACCUGUGUACAAAGAGUAGAUCUUCCAUGUCAUUUGAGAUAUUGUACCUUACCUAUGUGCAAAGAGAGAGAAUAAUCUCUAAGGUCAUUCGAGAUGCCUUAUGUACAAAAGAAGACCUCUUAUGUCAUUCAAAUGUGCAAAGAAACAUCUCUCGUGUCAGUAAAAAUGCCUUACCUAUGUACAAAGAGAAGAUCUCCCAUGUCAUUUGAGGUAAAAUGCUGUUCCAGCUGCCUAUCCAUCUGCUUUAACAAUUUACCAACAAGUUCUAAAGAAAAAACAGAGCAGUUUAAGGCUUGUUACAAACAAUAUCAAAGUCAUAAUAAAGAGCAAAAUAGUCCAACAGAUCCCCCUCCACACAUAUCUCCAAUAUGUAAACUGUAAACUAUAAUAAAUGUAUGAGAAGAAAAACAUUCCUGAAAAACAAAACAGCUAAAGGAAGGGCAAGGCUUGCACUAGGCAAUGCUUCAAGGCCUUUUUAAAGAAAGCUCUAAGCUCCAAGACUAAAUUCCUUUACCUAUCUUGUUCAUCAUGGUGGAAUCGAGAAAAUCCCCUUUGACAUGCUCCAUGUAGUUAGCAAAGCAGGAAUAAGCUUCAUCUUCAGCCACCAGCACGACAAGAAACCGACUAAGGAUGUCAUUCAUACCCUGAGCAUAUCCAACAUCUGUGCAACAGUAAUAAACAUUGAGUAGAACAUCCUGCAAAUAUACUGUAGCCAACAUCGAUAUGACAACAACACUUUAAUUAGCAUAAUAGGGGUAGCAAUGGGUGAAUCCGAGACUUACCAAGGCGCAGAGACAGAUGUUUCAGAGACCGAGACCGAGACUUUUGUCAAAUUUCGGAAUCUGAGCUUUUCUGGUCUCUUAACGACAGAGCCUGAUCUUGUUUUUUUUUCUAUAUUGUUUUCGGAUAACUUGCUUAAGGUAUGUCAUAAACAUAAGUUUUUUCAAAAGAAGUUACAGGAGUUACAAAGAGUUACAAUACAUUCUUGCUACACUAAGAAUAAGAAGGGGAAACCUGUAGCAUGGUAAAAAACCUAAAACAGAUUGCGUUUAACAAAAAUUCAAGACCCUGAGAUCGCAUUUAAAAAACCCAGACUCCACGACCGUGGUGAAAAAGUAUGGCCCCUAUUAGACCCCUAAAAUUUAGGAAAAAACAAGACUUUGAGACUUGAGUAAAAAAUGCUGAGGUUACGAGACUUUGCGAAAUUUUUGCAAGACCUUCAAAAUUUUGAGGUACCCAUUGCUAUCCCUCAUAAUCAACCUCUGGAUGAAGUACUGAAAAUUUAGAAAAAGAACACAGGGUUGGUACACUACACACCAUGCAACAAGGCGAGAAAACACCAACAGCAUUACAGAGCCAGGAACCUUGGCUAUUUUCUGGCACUAUUUGCAUGGGGCUCAGAACUGUAUCAUUCCCCUUCCUACACUGCUUUUUGUACUGAUGCAUGCAGACCUGCCUCUACAUACCUUGAUGAUAUGCUGCAUAUGUGAUGAGAAUGUCUCGCAAAACGAUCAGAUUUGGAUUUCCUUGACCCCUGAUAAAAAACAGAAGAUAAUGAGAUCAACUAGAAAGUACAGUAGAAAGCUACUAAUGGAGCUUUCUUGGCUAUGUAGGUCAUAGCUGAUGGCUAUUGUAAGUUCUUUUGACUUGUUUG